CCCGGUAAGUUUCCUUGUAAAUCUUAGGCGAAGAAGUCGGCCCCCGUAUAAAAGAAUUUGCUGGAAAAAUAAUCCUGGUUAAGCUCAGAUGUUUCGAUCAGUGUGGUGUAAAUUUGGUGCAACUCUCAAGAGGGCGGUCAUCAAUGGAGAUUCUUCUUCUUCUUCAUUGGCAGCUAAGUAUUUUCUCUUCGGAAUACAAAAUCAAAAUGUUUCUGUAAUUUCAAAUUCUAGGGUUACUUCCAUCUACUCUUCCUUCGUUACUACUACUGCUACUGAUGGUUAUGUUACUUCCUCUUCUGAUUAUGAUUCUUCAUUUGUAGUUUCUUAUCUGGUUAAUUCAUGUGGACUAUCUGAAAAAUGAAGCAAUUUCUGCUUCUAAAAAACUCAAAUUCAAAACCCAAAUCAAACCAGAUUCAGUCUUAGCUUUACUGAAAGCAGAAGGAUUCACCGAACCCCACAUUUCUAAACUAAUCCCUAGACACCCAGCCAUCCUCUCAUCUAAUCCUCACAAAACCCUCAAGCCCAAAUUUGAUUUUUUUUCAAAUCCAAAGGGCUUUAUGGACUUCACCUUGCCAACUUCAUCUUAAAUGAAAUGACCCAAAGAUCCUGAGGCGUAGUCUUAAUAAAGAAAUUAUCCCUACCUUUGAUAUCCUCAAGAGCAUAGUUCAAUCUGACCAAAACGUCAUUAAAAUGAUUAUUAUGCGAAAUCCUUGGAUUAUGAGUCAUUGCCAACUUAAAAAAGUGAUACUCAACCUAGAGCUUUUGAGGAGUGCAGGUGUCCCUCAAGCUAAUACAUCUAAGCUUCUUACCCCCCAACCAAUUACAUUUACUGGAGAUGCGGAUAGAUUUAAAGAGAUUGUAGAGAAGGUUAAAGAAAUGGGUUUUGAUCCUUGGAAAAUUACAUUUCUUAUAGCUAUACAUGGAUUUGCGUCAAUGAGUGAAGCCAAUUGGAUAAAAAAGCUGGAUGUUUACAAGAGAUGGGGGUGGUCUGAGGAUCAAAUUCAGUCUGCAUUUAGGAAAAGUCCUCGUUGUAUGAUGACCUAUGAGAAGAAGAUUAUGGCGGUUAUGAAUUUCCUUGUGAAUGAUAUGGGUUGCGAUUCAUCAAGUAUUGCUGAUAGCCCGAAAGUUUUGGAUUGUAGCUUGAAGGAGAGGAGUCUUCCUAGGUGUUCUGUUAUCAGGAUCUUACUCUUCAGAGGUCUGAUUAAGGAUAUUCUUUCUCUAAGAUCACUUUCCGUAAUGGCGAACAAGUCUUUUUUGGACAAGUUUGUGCAUGAUUAUGAGCUAGAGGUUCCUGAAUUAAUGAAGGUAUUCCUUGGUCAGCUGAGUUAUCAAGACCUAGUUCGGAACUGAAGGAUUUUAUGAGAUGGAUACACGUGCCGGAUUCAUGAAGUCCAAUUGCGAAACUUCCAAACGGUGUAUACUCCGAGCAGGGUAUGCCUCGAUUGAGAAAAAGGAUGUGUAUAUUGGUUCUGUGUAUUGCAUGGCAACAUGGUAAGAUAGAAAUUAGAUGAAGGAUAGCUUCGCAAAUAUCCGUAGUAUGCUCUGUUCUGAUAUAUCUCUCAUUAACAGUCUACAGUCCGGCUCUUUUUCUCAAUAAGCUUUCAUACUGCAACUAGCUAUUGGCAUCUAUAUGAUUAUCAUUGCGGUUAGGAGAACUGGGCGUCUUCAUGGUGUUGCAAGAGCUGCCAAGGCAGAUAUAAGAACCUACAGAAAACCCCACUGUGGGUUGCUUUUGAGUUUUUGUGAAGAAUAUUGGAAUUUUGUGGAAUCUAGAGGUUUAUUCUGGAUUGUGUUGUGUUUUGCGAGUAUGGGUAAGUUGGGGUUUUUCCUGCCACUAAAGGUUGGAAGUUUGAGUUUUGCUGAAACUCGAGACUGGAAAAUAGAAACAUGUCUCAAAGAUGAAGCACUAGCGCAUCCACACUACCUGAUGUGGUCUCAAGAACUGACUGCUGCUUUUAGGCAGAUUGAACCCCAUGUUUACACCUUGUAAGUGGACAAUGCAUUAGCCAGAUACAGUACUCUUGCCUAAUUAUGUACAAGUCAUUUUUAAAACACCAUAGGGUAGUUUUUCUAUAUGGAACAAUGAACAAUAAUGAGAAAGAAGGCAGCAAAAAGCUUUAGCGGAUGUCAAUAUCUUUCAAGCCUUCAAUGACCCAAAAUAUCACUCUUUCCUUCAUCCAAAGCAUUCCUUCUCAAUCUUUAUCUUGCAUCUAUGUAUAUCCCUUGGAAUUGCUUUCAAGAACAGCUAAUUCUUUUUUGUUUUUCUGUGGUGGUGGUCGUAUUCAAUUUCAGCUUAAACGGCAAUAACGCAUUGGAAAUUGCAAAAGAUAGCAGUUUUCGAGGGAGACCUUUCUUAAUAACUCUAUGGGUGGAGUUCCAACGCUUCAAAAGUUUGAAACCUUUUUUCUUUCCCUACAAACUUCAUAACGCGUUUUCUUUGACCCAGCAUCACCUACCAUUAUGGCCGAGUAUGAAUGCAGAGAAAUUGAAAGGUCAAGACGAGACUUUCAAGUUAAGGUAGGAAAACCCUGACGAUGCCCCAAAUUCUUUAUCAGUGACCUAAAUUCGUCGGCACCAAAUUUAAACCUGA